AAAAAAUAGAUUAAAGACCCUCAGAGGAGAUCAUUAGGCUGGACCAGGUUAACUCGGAUCCAAGGCCCUCACUCGGGUUAGGCAUUCACUUGGGAAGGAGAAACCCUAAAAAAACAGAAACAAAGCAGAGCUUCUUCAAAUUCGUCGUAAUGCUCCUUCUCACUCGACUUCUCACUCUCUCUUAAACCUUCAAUUCCAAUCCAAUGGUAAACACGAAGUAUUCAUGAACAAACACACAGGUUUGCAUUUCUUCUCCAUUUCACACUCGUUCUCUGAUUUGACAACAAGAGGCAGUAGCGUGAAAGGAGAAUCCCGUGAUUCGAGAAUCCAAAUCGCCCCCUAUUUUCAGUUCACUUCGAUCAUUAUCCUUUUAAACAUGGUAUGACUACCAAAGGAAAUGAGGAGACGAGAUAUCUAGGCAAGAAAGGAUUGGUUUUUCACUUUAGUCAACUAGUCUCUGUUCCGAAUCAAGUGAAAGCAAGUUUUCACGAUCGUACUUGGAUCAUCCUCUGUCUAGAAAACUAAGACGACUUAAGGUAAGAGUGAAGACUUAUUCGGAAAUAUGCAUCACCUCAGCACCAAGGAGUUUCAUCUAGUGAGCUUCUCCAUAGGGCUUUUCAUCGGUGAACGAACAGAGAAAAAGAAAAAAAAAACGACAAAGGGAAAAGAAAUGAACCAACUGUAGCUACAAGAACUCUCUUCCCACAGUCAGUCUACUGGUUCACAUCAAGACAAAAAAAAAAUGAGAUUUGGUGGGCUGGUAUUUCUUGCAAGGGAGGAUACAUGAUGAAUUAUAGAUACUCUUGAGGUAGCUUGAGCAAGGGUCCUCCAGAAAUUAGAAAUUUCUACUUGAAUUCUGUUAGGUUUUUCUAGUAAAUUGUAAAACCAUGUGGUUUGUUGUUUUUUCUUUUGAAGAAAUUUGCAGCAACUUUGUAAAUCCCUUGCUGUCAUUUGGUUGUACUUAAUUCGGCCGAUGGAUGUAAUUAACCUUUCAGAUUUAUUUGAUUCAAAAUACAACUUAUGAACCUUUUCAUGCUAGUUUGUUUAGUGAAACUAAAUGCUCUUACUAUCUAAAGAAACAAAACUUAAGUUUAGUUCAAAAAACCAAAUUUGCUUGAUGUGAAUCGAAGAAAAAAAAUGGAAAAGUCUAGAAAUGAAUGAGAAUGAGGAUGAUAGUUUCAACAAGGGCAACCCUUUAAAAAAAACAGAUUUUCAAACUUUAGUUAAUACUUUUGACUCUAAGCUUGCAAUUGGAUCAAUUCUUAUGAGAUUAAAGUAUUCAAAAAAACAUGAACAAAAUAAUGGACUUUUGGACCUAAUAUUUAGGGGAAA